GGAUAUUUUAGCUGCAUCUUUGCUCUUGUCUUCUUUCUUCUUCCCAAACCUGGAACAAGAAGCACAAAAAAGGGACACGGAUGCAACAUGCAAAGCACUUCUCAUUACUGCUACAGGCAGAUACGUGGCCUGAAUGGUAACCCGCUGGCCUGGCCAAAAGUGGCGCUCAGCAUCAGAGCCGCAGUGAAACCUGGACAGGAUUGUCAUUUUGGCCUGGCACCAUCCUGCAAACCAAUUACUGUGGUUUUAAGGUGAUGUCACUGCCCCCGUUGCUGUGAUAUUUUUCCACAUCACUUCCUGGAGAUCACUUGUCACAGAGACAGUGUGGGCAAUGCCGCAGCAAGCAUCUUUUUUCUGAAGUUUUUUUUUUUUUUUCUUUUUCUUGGAACUAUUUUGAUGUUCUGAGCAAUCCCACAUCAUGCCAGUGCCAAAAGCAGACUACCAAUUACCUCAGCGAGAACUGUACAGAAUGUUGUAUUGUUGCAAAAGGAAUAUCAACACUAUUCAUCUUAGUUUGCAUCAAUAGAUAUAUAAUUAUAUUACACAUAAAUAUA